CACGUAGGGGGCGAGCGUUGUCCGGAUUUAUUGGGCGUAAAGAGCUCGUAGGCGGUUCGGUAAGUCGGGUGUGAAACCUCCAGGCUCAACCUGGAGUCGCCACUCGAUACUGCUGUGACUAGAGUCCGGUAGGGGAGCGUGGAAUUCCUGGUGUAGCGGUGAAAUGCGCAGAUAUCAGGAGGAACACCGAUGGCGAAGGCAGCUCGCUGGGACGGUACUGACGCUGAGACGCGAAAGCGUGGGGAGCAAACAGG
rnacentral:rRNA from 1 species